CUUCCUUUUCUGUUACCCAUGAGCCUCUGUGUGUGAUUCUGCCAUGAAAUGAUCCCAAAAACACAAGGUGUUGGCAUGCACUUUGAGGUGAUGUUCUGGCUGAGCAUUGUGCUUAUACACCGUGAGAUAGAUUCAAGCUGUGACACUCAUGUGCUGAGCAACAGAGCUGCACAGGAACAUUUCACUUGAAGAAAAAGAAAAAAAGAGUGAAGGUGUGAAGGAAGACUUGUGAAGACCAAGACAAAGUGAGAGUGGCAGGUGGAACAGAGUGGGCGAAAUCCCAUGAAGCUGCUGCAAUGAGCGAUAGAGAGGCGGAUUGCGUGUCUGAGAGUUGUAUGCUUGGGCAACGACUGCCUGUAUCACCUGUUCCAGGACUCCCCAGUGGUUAAGCCAGGCGAUUAGGGUGUCAUGUGUUUGCAGCCUGGGGUCUUGAAAGCACACGCCCAUCAAUUUACAACUUCCUCUAUGAUGGAAACAGAUCAACAAGGGAGUAUGGAACAUAAUGUGAUGCUAACGCACAGAUUGACAGCGUGCUUUCUUGCUGCUCUUUCCCGGUGGAAAGCAUUGUCGCUGCUCCUUCCUCUUGGUGCAUCACACGUGUUGCCAGCGCUUUGGAAGCCUCAUGAUUUAGACAGAUGGCUUUUCUCAUUUGAGCUGACUGACAGCUCACAACCUGUCAAUCAUGCCAGGGAAGAUGAAUGUGAGAGAAAAGGAGGCCAGUGAAGUGAAAGGCAUAAUCACCUCCCACCUUCUUGCACACGCUGCAUGCUGGGAUAGAUUGUUCCUCCGUCUUAUGUGUUCUGAAGUGUCAGGUAUUCUCAAGUGUUUUUAAACCGGUGGACUCUGGUUUAACUGUGCCUUAAGCUUUCUGUAAAUGCUCUCGAUGAAUGUUGUCAAUGUUUAAUAUUCUAACUGACUGUGACAUAUUUUGUUGUCCUGGUUUUGUUUUCGCUUGGCAAUAUGCUAAUAGCGGGUGCUCUUGCUGUUGUGUUGACCGCAAUAAGUCAUGAUUACUAAUGAGGGAACUUUUUCCAUUCACCCAGACCACCCACGUUCAUAAUGUUAAAUGUAAAUACUGAUCUGCCUACAAUGGAGUACAUUUAUUCAGUUUGAGUGGGUUGAGGUGCCAUGAGGACAGGCAGGUUUGUGCUAUUAGAGGGGUGUUUUAUCCUCAGACAGUUUGGAAGACUCUUAACGCUCAAUCAUUUGCUCACCAAUUUUCCAGCAUGUGAAAUAAGCAAUCUGAAAAUGAAAGAGGCCUGUCCAGGA